rnacentral:rRNA from 1 species
UACGAAGGGGGCUAGCGUUGUUCGGAAUUACUGGGCGUAAAGCGCGCGCAGGCGGUCUUCCAAGUCAGUGGUGAAAGCCUGGAGCUCAACUCCAGAACUGCCAUUGAAACUGUUGGACUUGAGUACGAGAGAGGUGAGUGGAAUUCCCAGUGUAGAGGUGAAAUUCGUAGAUAUUGGGAAGAACACCAGUGGCGAAGGCGGCUCACUGGCCCGGUACUGACGCUGAGGUGCGAAAGCGUGGGGAGCAAACAGG